rnacentral:rRNA from 1 species
CCUACGGGAGGCAGCAGUGAGGAAUAUUGGUCAAUGGGCGGGAGCCUGAACCAGCCAAGUCGCGUGAAGGAAGAAGGUACUUAGUAUUGUAAACUUCUUUUGUCGGGGAACAAAGGCGGAGACGCGUCUCCGGAUGAGUGUACCCGAAGAAAAAGCAUCGGCUAACUCCGUGCCAGCAGCCGCGGUAAUACGGAGGAUGCGAGCGUUAUCCGGAUUUAUUGGGUUUAAAGGGUGCGUAGGCGGGAGAUCAAGUCAGCGGUAAAAUUGCGGGGCUCAACCCCGGCCGGCCGUUGAAACUGGUUUGCUAGAGUUGGUGAGAAGUAUGCGGAAUUCGUGGUGUAGCGGUGAAAUGCAUAGAUAUCACGAAGAACUCCGAUUGCGAAGGCAGCAUACCGGCUCCAUACUGACGCUGAGGCACGAAAGCGUGGGGAUCGAACAGGAUUAGAUACCCGAGUAGUC